rnacentral:lncRNA from 1 species
ACAAUAUGUAUCUUGACUUACAUUUAAAGACAAAAAAAAAACAGAAAUUUAAGGAUUAAUUUUUGUUCAGAUUACAUAAAUACAAUAUCUUAGAAAAAAAAUUCAAAUUGGACCCAAUUUGCUUACCAUAAGCAACACGACAGAGCAGCUCAUGUAUCUGAAUCUGCUUACCCUUCUAGUGCAAUUUAUACCACCCAAAGUUAUUGG